UGUGACCUACGGGACGCAGCAGUAGGGAAUCUUCCACAAUGGACGAAAGUCUGAUGGAGCAACGCCGCGUGAGUGAAGAAGGGUUUCGGCUCGUAAAGCUCUGUUGGUAGUGAAGAAAGAUAGAGGUAGUAACUGGCCUUUAUUUGACGGUAAUUACUUAGAAAGUCACGGCUAACUACGUGCCAGCAGCCGCGGUAAUACGUAGGUGGCAAGCGUUGUCCGGACUUAUUGGGCGUAAA
rnacentral:rRNA from 1 species